GCGAGGAAAAAUAAAAGUUUUGUUUUUCUUUCACGAAUUUUGUUGGAGGAAGAUAAAAUUCCAUUGAUUAACUUGUUCCAGAACUCGCACCAACCAACGAUGUCAACAUUGCUGAUCUGUGCGUGCGGGUGGAAUUGCUGUGGUUCUGUUUGGUGUUCCCGGUGCGUUCAUCUCAGGCUGCUCCGGAAUUCCAUCUGGACGGGUGUUGAUAAAAACUUCCUGUGGGUGCCGGCCAACUAUUUAGUUGUGGUGACCGCCCGCGGAAGAGCCCAUAACACAGCUGGCGUGGCGCGAAACACGAAAGAGUUGAACCUAUACAUCGAAUUCCUCCGCUGGAUGGGGGCUGCUCGAUUGAUCAACCAGCGCUUUAGUUCCGGCAACGUUGCUACUGUUCACGGAAGCGAAUCAAUUUAUAGGGCAGAACAUUCUACCUGAGUUUGCUCGCUGAGGACGAAGAAAGUUAAUGGCCAUUCCGAUGGCACAUCACAGGCUUCUGAAAACUCACAACGGUUGUCUAAAGGUUGGCAGUCGGAAGUUGAAUAACUCGAGACUGAAGGUGUGAGCAUUGAUGACGUAAUCGCUGGCCCGUUCUCGUUGCCAGCAAAGUAGGGCCAAAAAUUUGAAUUUGACCAGAGCUUCUCUUUUCGUUAUUAUGUCGAUUGGGACAAACCUUGUGCAACUCGCAGAACAAAAACUUGUAUGAAGAUGGUUCUGGAACGAGCACUACCAAAUGAUGUAUUUUUUUUACUUCUUUAGCAAUUUAUGCAAAAUUCUCUAAUUAUUUUCUUUUUUCAGAAAGGCAUCCGGGAAGUUGUAACUGACCGCAACCAGUGGGAAAAAGUAUCUCCAAUCAAAAAAUCGUUGAAUAAGAGGGGGAGGACCGUGAAUUUUGUUAAUCUCCUAAGAUUCUUAUAUAAGACAUCGAUUAGCAGAUUUAUCACCGAAUGCAAACCAUUAAAGCGGGUCAGUUAUCGAGCAAGCUGGUUAACCCCUUAUUUAUUAUUCGGUCGGUGGAUGAACCUGGUUGACACGAUGAAGAAUUGAGCGGAGUAAAAUGGUGGAGA